GAGGGAGGGAGGGAGGGAGAAUCCCAAGCAGGCUCUGUGCCAUCAACGCAGAGCCUGUUGUGGGGCUUGAACCCAUGAACUGUGAGAUCAUGACCUGAGCUAAAACCAAGAGUUGGACGCUUAAUGGACUGAGCCACCCAGGCACCCCCAAAAAGGUGUUCUUUAAUCAGAGUUUCAUAGUGGUGAUUCAGAGACCCAGCCUCCUUGUACCCUGUCGCUCUGCCAUGUGGCUCUGCCAUCCUCUCUGUGUGGCUUCCAAAGUGGUUUCGUUUGUGGCAUGAGGACAGUGGAUGUGGAAAGAGCACGGAUUACUGUGCACAGAAGUUCCAUGGACCAGACCUAUGAGUGGUACACAUCCCUUAUAUCCCCUUGUUAGAGUUCAAUGUUGUAGCUAUAUAACUCCAAGGGAACUGGAUGUGAGAGGUCCAAGUGUGCGUCUAGGAAAGACUAGGAAUGUGGCCAGUGGUCUUGACCCCAAGGUGGCUUUGCUGCACCUCUAUGUUGAAAAGCACAACUAAUUUGGCAGCAUUAGAGUGUCCUGUGAGAGGGGAUGUGUUAUUUUGGGUAUAGCCUCAGCAAAAUGGCCUGAAAGUUCUGGCUAGAGUAUUUUGUGGAGCAAAAUAGGAGCAGGUUUCUGAAGGACAGAGAAGUAAAGGCGUGGUCAGGAGAGAGAGCGUCAGCACUGUUCACACGUCUGGGGUCCUUCUCCCUUCUGUAAACUUAUGAGUCUCAUAGGUUGGCUUUUAGUUGGUGAAAUCUCUGCACCUGACCCAGAGUCUCAGCAGGGCACGGGGCACAUCUUCUUCAUAGCUUUGCCGUGGACUGUGGACAGGGGUGGAAGGCCACUGGGCCUUGGGCUCCCAUUUUUCGACCUCAUGUUCACUUGGCCUGCAGGAUCAAACACAUAAGACUCAGCAGUCAGCAGGUUAGAGAAGAGGGUGGAAGAGAGAUGGAGAAGCUGACCAUUGGGGCAAAAGCAGAACACUUUUCUUUUCUCUUGAUCUCUACUCUUUCCCUCAUUUCGCCCCACUGAAUGUAACUUUCCCUCUAAGAGAGUAUUUGUGCAGAUAUCCUCCCUCCUGGGUCCCCUCCAUCAUCCAUGUUAUGUAAAAUGUCAUUGAGGAACAUGCUGUCCAGAAGCUCCGUGGGGAGAAGAGUCACAGGGCCGCCCUCCAGGACAGAUAUGAAGGAGGUGACAUUGUUGGGUACCUUUGCCUUUCAUUUUGUGUUUUUCCGGCAGGUGCCUUUCCUGAGCUUACUUCUAGCUCUCUUGGUUGGAAAAAUACCUGAUAAAGGAAUCUCUCUAAGAUCUUCACUUUCUGUGUGGGGUGAGUAUUUCCAUUGUGUCAGAUUUCUCUUCACUCAUCUUCAGAACAAAUCCUUGUUGAUGGGAUUUCUGAUUCCCCAACAAUUUCUGGAGGUUGUAUCCUGGGCAGAUCCUCCUAGGGGCUCUUUAGAAGCUGUAGAUGCAUCCUUGAGAUGUAUAUUCUUGAGAACAAUGUUUUUCUGGUGAAUUUGGGUGAUUUUACCCAAGCCCUGAGUGGGGUCCAUUUUCCUAUAACCAUUAAACAAAUCACUGGAUAAAUUUGAAAAAGUUCUCAGCUGCCACAAAUAAUUUCCCUUUUAAGUCUGAGAUUUUCGUUUUUAGACAAUGCAACUGAGUUAAGCAAUAGGUAAAUUAUGAAGAUAUUAUUUAGUGGGAGAGAUGAUGACAUUGGAACAUUUGAUCUACACUUCCAAUUGAAAACAGAGGUUCUUAAGAUGUUUGGCAUCAAUAGAUUUGAUGGCACACUGGAAGAGAUUGAGAGUCUCAGAACAGCAUAACAGUUACAGUGCAGUUUCUGUCACAGGAUAAUCAUGCCUCCUGUGUGUAUAACAUUCUUCUCCACCCCCACACUGCUCGCCAGUUUGCCCCAGUAGUGUCCACUUUGGUAGACUGAUUGAUUGCCCUGAACUCCUCUGAUAUACCCACAAGGCAAAAAUUCUUAUGGGUUCUAGUGAACAAACACCUUUAUUUGGAUCCAGAUGAAUUAUGUUCCUUACCUCUUAUUCACAGCACAUCGUCCUCUACUCUAUAACGUUUAAAUUAAAUUAUGGCAGCACACCCAUGCAAGGGCACACCAUGAGUAGUCGCCACUGACUGUGGACCAUUGUGGGUUCUAGAAACGGUUGAACAUACAAAGAUGAACACUGAAUAGCUUGGAAAUAGCAUAAGGUUACCUUCUUUAUGGAGGGUAUUGUGGGUUCAUUUGUGUUUCCCAAAGAGAUAUGUUGAAAUCCUAACUUCUAGUACCUGUGAAUGUGGCUUUAUUUGGAAAUAAGGUCUUUGCUUAUAUAGUCAAGUUCAGUUGAGGUCAUCCUGGAUUACAGUGGGUCCUAAUUCACUGGUGUGCUUGUAAGAAGAAGCACAUUUGUGCACACAGACACACAGGGAGAGUGCUAUGUGAUGACAGAGGCACAGAUUGGAAUGAAUCAGCUGUGAGCCACAGAAUGCCAGGGGCUGUUGGCAAGUGAGGAGAAAGGCAUGGGAUGGAUUCUCCCUCAGAGCUUCCAGAAGGAACCAGCCCUGCCAACACCUUGACUUCAGACUUCCAGCCUCCACACUGAGAGAAAAAAUGUCUGUUGUUUUAAGCUACCCAUUUUGUGGUGCUUUGUUAUGAUGGCCCCACAGGAAACCAGCUCUGAGGGUAAUGUUGAAACCAGUCAUCUCCUCCACCAACUUUAUGUCACAGUUGUGCCUUUUGUCAUGGAGGCCCCGGAUAUACCUACUGGUGGGAAAAGAACUUUGAUGGAAUAUUGUUCCCACUUGGAAGCAAGAGAAAUUCUCUCUCUCCCUGCCCCUACCCUCUCCUUCUCAUUCCUCCUUCCUCCCCCCUUCUCUCUGUUGUCAUCUUCAAAGUUCACUCACUGGUAAAAGGAUCACAAUAAUAUCCAUACUUUCUUUAAAAAUAUGUGUUGAGAGGGGCCUAUGUUUUUCUUCUUUUUCCUUUUCAGGUGCUGAGGUUUUUAGUGAGCCCUGUCUUGUCAGUACUGAAAGGCUUCAAUCAAAUAGCACUUGAACUCUUUUCAAAGACUUGCAAGAUUGAAAAGAUUCCAGCCUGUUGAACGGAGAGUAAUAGGCAACAGAAGAUGAUUUUGGACAAUUUAAGAAGGGAAAUUUAUCAGGAACUCAGCACAUCAACUGGAAAGCUGAGACUCAGGCUUGCAUUGCCAUGUCACGUGAAGCUGCUUCUCCCGAUGAAGCAGAGAUUGAAAUGUCACACCAGCACGAUCAAUUAGAUGAUGUAGAAGAGAGGCAUUUGCUACCUGACCUUAAUCCACAGGGCAAGAAGGGCUGAGUGGAGAAGACUAAAUACAGAGAGACUCAAAGGCAGAGGAAACGGGCAGAGCAUAGUUUAAAUAGGCACAAAGCAGCAUAAAUGUUGAUUCAUGACAAAAAGGGCAUCCUCAGGUUAAAGACUUCUUAUGAUGUAUACUGGUGCACUCGUUCAACUCGGAGUGAGUACAAAGUAAAUAUAAACACCUUUCACACAAGGAAUAUGACAGAAAAGGAAGUAGGAUCCAUUUGGUUGCUUCAAUUGUGAGAUAUCUAUUUAUCACAGCAGUGGAAAACCAGCAGGAGGUUCAGAGGAAAGCCAUGGAAACAUGAGGACCGGGAAAAUGAAAUGCAAACAAGUAUCCUGGGGAGCUGAUGAACCAAUGAUGAACCAAUCAUGAUGCAGGAUACUUCAUAAGUCACCAAACCUCCCUUGGCAGUUUAACAUCUUUUGUUCUAGAAGGUUGUUUCACAGCUGUACCUGAACAUUGGCUCCACUAAAGGAAGAGAAUUGAAAGGGAAUUUGAAUUUCAAAGCCGAACAACAGAAGCAACAGUGUUGCCAUAAUCUGCAGGCUCUAACUUGAACACAGAAAAGCAGGAUGCCUCCUCAGAGACAAACUGCCUUAAGAAAGAAGGAGAUUGUUCCACGGAUGUUAUCAAAGCUUAAUGAACUAAAUAUUGUCCUUCUCUCCAGGGUUCUCGGAUUAAUGCAAGGCUGCAUCCUGGACAGCGAACAUUAGAACAUUAGAACAUUAUACUUUCAGGUAAGCAGGGAAGGGGGCCAGGUGUGCCGGAAAGUCAUCUGGAAGAGUGAGGAUGGUAGAAACACCAAGCUAAAAAAUAAAAUUCGUCAACAUUGUAGAGGUUUUACUGUUACCCUAAAGAUCAUUGCAAAUGUACCAGACAACAACCUCAAAUUGCCAUGACACUAAACAAGCAGGGCUUCUGGAAAAUCAUUGCUUUUCGCUUGCCUGUUUUUCUCGAUUCGACAAAGAAAACAACAUGCAAAUGGGUCUCGGCGUAGUGGCCAAAGGAAAAAGGAAAGCCUCAAACUCAGAAGGUCGUGAGUGUGCGAUGACCUUUAGUUACUUUUCUCCUUUUUAUCUGCUGCUGUUUGUGAUUCAGGAAAAACGGCUCUUCAUGUUGUCCGGGCUAGACCUGCUCUGGCUUUCCUUUCCAUUUUUAAAAGGCUCUCAGCAGAUGCUAUCUUCUGGAAAACAAAACAAAACAAAAACAGCACAAACCCACAGAUCACUCUCCCUCCCUCCCUGUGUAAAACCUGCACGCUCUGAAGUGAGAAAACAGUGGUUCUUCUGUCUUUUUAUUUCUCUGUGCGCAAUGGUAACUUUGGCUGUGUGCUUACGUCUCAUAGAACCUUCUUAUUUUAGGGUAUUUACAUUAUGUUCUUUGUUGCAAAUUCACAUUAGAGAAUAUCGCUAGGGAAGGUUGUACUAAUUACAGCAUAAAUCAUUACAGUGGCUACACAACAGAGGCAGUUGAUAGAUGGAUUAUCGAAAAGGAAACGCUCUAUCAUCAUUUUCUGUUCUCUUGGCAGAAAUGCCAUUUGUAUGAGGCAAGCAGGUCUGGUUAGUUCUGUUGCUGAUUUUAAUCCUUCCUAUUUUUCCUUCCUUCUUGCCUCCUCCCCCGCCCCUCCCAUUCUCAGCCUGCUAUGCAGUGGUUCUAAGGUAUAAAGACGUCCCAGAGUCCAGUAUUUGCCCACUUAAUAUAGAAAGAAGGACACGGGCUUAGGUCUGCUGCUUUCGUUAAGAUCAACUUGUGUAGCUGCAUUUUAGCUCAUGGACACAGAAUCAAACUUCUAAAAAUGUUUGGUUUCCAUGUUUACUCCACUCGAUGUGAUUCUUGGUAGUGUCUGACUCAUUGUGUCACACAGAUCUUUCCACAUAUUUUAACAUGUAUUUCCCUCCAGUCCUUGUUGAAUUAAAUUUCAGUGCUCCUUAGUUCUUGCUGAUGAUUCUUUUUCAGGAAUGGUGUAAUAGUAAAUUAAAAAAAACAAAACAAAACAAAAACACAGUUCCUGGGAAAUCUGACAUUUUUAAGGCGUGUUUUGAUUUUGCAAGAAAAUGAGUGUGACUUUUUUUUCAGUCCCUGCCCAGCUAUUUGAGAAAAAUCAGAAAGUGGAAGCUAGAUAGGGGCUAACAUGUGUCCCAGUGUGUGAUGAGGAAUAGUCAAUAAUCACUUGUGAAGCCCCUGGAGUUUGCCUGUCACUAUGGAGACAAAUAAUAAUGUAUCUGUAAUAUUGUAUCGGUAAUAUUAUCAAUAAUAUUAGCUGGGGUUGUGAACACCUUUGGUUUUGAAAUGAGCUUUGAAACCCAAGGGUAAUAAGAAUAGAGCAACCGGGAGUUCAGGACUCACAAAACAUGUAUACCUUGGAGUGAGGGAAAGACCCACGUCUAUUUGUUCAGCUUGCAGAAGAAGAGAUCAAAAUGAGAUGUGAAAAAGGGAGCAGGCUCUGUCCCCAUUGUCCCUCAAGGCCUUCUAGAAAUAGUCUAGCAGAAGUUGGGUGACUAAGCUUCUGGAAUGUUCAUGCAGAAUUCUUUCACUGGGUGAGAGCAUGGGGCAGAUGGUAUCUGUGGUCUGUCCAUUAGACAUGGAGAGAAUUCAAGUCACCCAGUGGACAAAAGCACAGGAUGUCAUCGGGGCCGAAGCUGGCAGUCUGGCAUUGAGACUUUCUGGUGGCGUGGGGCUCUCACCCCAUUUCACAUAGUGGUUCCCCUUGCUCCCGGUUUGCUGUGAGCUGUGAGGGUGUGGUCCCAGUUCACAGCCAGGGAAGUCAGCAAGCAGGCACCAGGGGAGGGGGCUGCUAGGAGCCAGGAGCACCCAGGCUACUGUCACAAGUCAGGGUCGCAUAUUUUGUCUGGUCAGACGGUGCGGGGAAUUUGUUUAUCGUUACCAGGCCUAAGUUAUUCUUCCAUUAGGAUCACAAGAGUUUCCUCUUGCUCAUUUUAGAGAAGUGAGGAGGGUGAAAGUUCAAGGUGUUUGUGGAGAUUGCCAAAGAACACUCUUCUAAAAGCUAGUGAGGCCCCAAGCACAGUGUGAACGGAAUACCAAACAUCAGUUAAGAUCUGUGUGUCAUCCAGGGCGUCAGCUGUCAUGGAGAUUUUCACUAUAUUGUCACUAAGGCAUCACAGAGACAGCCUAGUCCUGGAAUGGCUUUGGUAUCGGUAGCAAAGCCGAUAGGAAGAAAAGAAAAGGCAAGUGUGGGCUUCGGAGAGUGAGAGCGAUGUAUGAGAAAUACAUGGAUGUAUGGGGAGGUGGAGGAGAGAAAUCACUGCGGGAUGGGAAUUUGAAGCAUGGAAAUAGGAAAAGAAAAAGAGACAUUCUUUGGAUGCUAACAGAUCAACUAAAAAAUGAGAUUGACUAGGGCACCUGGGUGGCUCAGUCAGUUAAGCAUCUGACUCUGGAUUUUGGCUCAGGUCAUGAUCCCAGGGUCAUGAGAUCGAGCCCCGUGUUGGGCUCUGUGCUGGGUGUGGAGCCUGCCUGGGAAUCUCUCUUUCCCUCUCCCUGUGCCCCUCUCUCACUCUGUCUCUCUCUCUGAAAGAAAGAAAGAAAGAAAGAAAGAAAGAAAGAAAGAAAGAAAGAGAGAAAGAAAGAAAGAGAGAAAGAAAGAAAGAGAGAGAGAAAGAAAAUGAGAUUGGCUUAUAGAAACAGAGAUCCCUAUUAACUAAGUUAGAGGAGAAGCAGUAGAGAUAAUUCUGUUCCAUCUAAAAUAGGAGUCAGCCUCUCUUCUUUCUGUGCCUCAUCUUCCCUGUGAAGCAGGGCUCUUCUCUGAUGACAGGUGUUACCUGACCCACCCCCACCCUAAGGUCUGAAAGUAGACACAGCCCUUGGUUCAAUCCAGGACCCAGGUAGGGCAAUCACACUGAUACACACUUGAAGUAGACUUGAUUUCUCCCCCAAAUCAGGUAAAGGAUAGCUUUGUAUCCCAAAUUUCAUUUUAGUAGAAAUCAGGAAGUUUAAGAAGUCCAUGGGAAAGGACAUUUUUCAUUUCAUUUGUUUUCAUUUUGACAAAAUUUGAUCUGAAACACAAGAACCUAGAGGUGGUUUUUAAAAACUGGUAGUGACAACAAUAAAAUACCUGUGAAUGAGAUAUUCAGGCUAAGCCAGAGACCAGUCCCAGUCCCGGUUUCCUGUGCAGCGGGGGAGAAGGAUACCCAUCUUUGUGGAAGGGGAAAGAGAAGUCAUGCUUGUUGAGUGAUGCCCCCAGCUCAGGAACUGGACCAAGCACUUAAAUAGCUGCAAUCUCAUGUAUUCACCAUAACCUCGAAAUUACGUGUCAUUAUUUAUUAGUGUUAUGCAAAAGAGGAAAAUGUGACUUUGUCACAUAGGAGAAAAAGAAUAUAUAGGUACCGUGAUAUUUUGAACUAUAUCCUCCAUUUAUUGGGUAUUUGGGGCUUGGAUUGAAGCCUAAGUUUCUAUUCUUGGCUUUCUUUUGAGAAAUUGCCACCUCGUCUCUUCGGUGAGAGUACAUUGAUAGCCUAUUAUUCCUGUCAUUGUCACUCCCUGGAUGCUACUCCUCUCACUGAGAUGGUAAGAAGGGCUGGAGAUCUGUAAGCCAUGGUUCCCUGCCAUCCUGAGUCUUCACCUGUGGCUCCUGAAGGUGAUCUCUGAGGAAGCUCGGGUAAGCCUUGUAGGCAGACAGUGGGACAUCUCACCUGACCCUCUACCAAUUCAAGUUAGGCAGCUCUUUUACUUCUGAUGGAGAGUUCCUGUGGGAGCAGCAUGGAGCACAUGUCUCCUCCCUGUGAGAUCUGGUCUUAGAAUGUGGUUAGGGACUGAACUGUGCCUUCUCCAAACCCUAAUUCAUAUAUUUAAACUCUAACCCUCAAUGUGACUAUAUUUGGAAAUGAAGUCUGUGAGGAAGUUGAAUAAGGUCAUAAGGGUGAAGCCUUAAUCCAAUAGGACUAAUGUCCUUUUAAGAAGAGGAAGAGACACAAAAGAUUUCUUUCUCUCCCUGUGCACAGAGCAGAGGCCAUGUGAGGACACAGCAGGAAGGCAGCCAUCUUCAAGCCAGGAAAAAAAGCCUUUCCAACAACCAACCCUCAUGGCACCUUGAUCUUUGACUUCUAGCCUCCAGAGCUGUGAGAAAGUAAAUUUCUGUUGUUGAAGCCA